ACUCUAGCCCGAGCAACAGAGUGAGACUUUGUUUAAGAAAAAAAAAAGAAAAAGAAAAGGAGCGAGGUAUCAUUGUAGAACCUCUGGGGCAGAAGGGCUUCUCAGUCAGAGUCUUUCAGGUUUGUUGUAUGUUUGAAAAUUUUCCGUAAUAAAGCAGGGUAGUUGGGGUCUUCUUGCUAAAGUGCAGUGACCCGCAGUUCCUGGCUGUGCCUUCUUUCACCCCGCGAAAGCGUGCACCUGGUGGUGGGGACACAGAUGCAAAAGUCCAAGGUGGGAACCAGCCGUCUGCCCACCUCAGUCAGUUCCAGAGGAUGGUGUCCCAGCCUGCUGCAGUGUCAACUGCCAGGUUUGGUGCUCCCUUGCCCACCCGGCUGCAUCCGCAGGUGAACUCCUUCCUGCCCAGGGAGCUACUCUGAGCAGGUGGGACUUGGGGAAGACUCCAUCCCCAAAAGGCGGUGGCCAUGGCCACACAGCUGCGCCCAAAAUGUGGUGCCCCAGUGUCUCAGGACGUUCCAGAUGCCCCGAGUUCGGAGACUUCACCGCGGGCUGCGGGGUGCAGGCCUAGAUGGAGCUGUAGAAAGUGUUCGAGCCUCCUCCUCCCUGUCCAGGGCAGGGCAGGUGACAGCAGCAGGACCUAGGAGAUGUUGUCAAGCCAGGUGACGUCCGACCAGCCGACCGACUGCCCAGAGGAGCCCUCCUGCCCCUUGUCUAGGAGGGACCCUGCGACUAACUGCGGGAGGUCACGUGGCGGUGGCCACCCAGGAGGCGGGACGUGAAGGACCUCGGCCUCGGUGGCGGAAGGUAGACUCGGACUCACCCAGCCUCACUCCAUUGGGGACAGACAGGACCAGGGACUUGCAUUCCGAGCAGCCUGUCUCUCAGACGCUUCCUCAGGUGUUUCCCACGCUAGGGUGGAGGCGCCAUUGUCCUCGUUAUGCAGACAAAGAAAUAGAACCCUGGAGAAAUGAAGGAGCUCGCCCACGCCAGGCAGCAGGCUUGUUUCUGAGGAGGUCACAGUGUGAAUGACAUCUGCAGAGAGACGCAGGUUCCACUCUGGGCGGGGACACACAGCGAUUGAAUGUCACCAGCAACCACGGUGGCCGCAAGUAACUGUCGGAAAGUGGGGAGUCCUGGAGGAACAGACAAGAGAGCAGGGGAUGCUCUGGCCCCCCGGCGCGCGGUGGGCGGGCGGGGCGUCCCGGGGCUGGGGUCUCUCCCAGACCUGGGCGGCCUGGUCUCUGGGGGCGGCUUCCCAGGCCGCUCACUCACACCCGA